rnacentral:rRNA from 1 species
UACAGAGGGGGCAAGCGUUAUUCGGAAUUAUUGGGCGUAAAGGGCGCGUAGGCGGUUUUUUAAGUCGGAUGUGCAAUCCCCAGGCUCAACCUGGGAACUGCAUUUGAUACUGGCAGACUCGAGUCUGGUAGAGGGUAGUGGAAUUCCGCAUGUAGCGGUGAAAUGCGUAGAUAUGCGGAGGAACAUCAGUGGCGAAGGCGGCUACCUGGACCAAGACUGACACUGAGGCACGAAAGCGUGGGGAUCAAACAGG